rnacentral:rRNA from 1 species
AGAACGAACGCUGGCGGCAUGCCUAACACAUGCAAGUCGAACGAGACCUUCGGGUCUAGUGGCGCACGGGUGCGUAACGCGUGGGAAUCUGCCCUUAGGUACGGAAUAACAGUGAGAAAUUACUGCUAAUACCGUAUGAUGUCUUCGGACCAAAGAUUUAUCGCCUAGGGAUGAGCCCGCGUUGGAUUAGCUAGUUGGUGGGGUAAAGGCCUACCAAGGCGACGAUCCAUAGCUGGUCUGAGAGGAUGAUCAGCCACACUGGGACUGAGACACGGCCCAGACUCCUACGGGAGGCAGCAGUGGGGAAUAUUGGACAAUGGGCGAAAGCCUGAUCCAGCAAUGCCGCGUGAGUGAAGAAGGCCUUAGGGUUGUAAAGCUCUUUUACCCGGGAAGAUAAUGACUGUACCGGGAGAAUAAGCCCGGCUAACCUCCGUGCCAGCAGCCGCGA